rnacentral:rRNA from 1 species
GACGUAGGGGGCGAGCGUUGUCCGGAUUUAUUGGGCGUAAAGCGCGCGUAGGCGGCCUGUUAAGUCGGGUGUGAAAACCCGGGGCUCAACCCCGGGCCUGCAUUCGAUACUGGCAGGCUAGAGGCAGGCAGGGGAGAUCGGAAUUCCUGGUGUAGCGGUGAAAUGCGCAGAUAUCAGGAGGAACACCGGUGGCGAAGGCGGGUAGCUGGGCCGACACUGACGCUGAGGCGCGAAAGCCAGGGGAGCGAACGGG